rnacentral:rRNA from 1 species
AGAGUUUGAUCCUGGCUCAGAACGAACGCUGGCGGCGUGCCUAACACAUGCAAGUCGAACGAGAAGUACGUAGCAAUACGUAUUGUAAAGUGGCGCACGGGUGAGUAACACGUGGGUAAUCUGCCCUCGAGUUUGGGAUAACCCCGCGAAAGCGGGGCUAAUACCGGAUAAGACCACGGGAACCAAAGUCCCUGAGGUAAAAGGUGGCCUCUAUUUAUAAGCUACCACUUGAGGAUGAGCCCGCGGCCCAUUAGCUAGUUGGCAGGGUAACGGCCUACCAAGGCGAUGAUGGGUAGCUGGUCUGAGAGGACGAUCAGCCACACUGGAACUGAGACACGGUCCAGACUCCUACGGGAGGCAGCAGUGGGGAAUAUUGCGCAAUGGGCGAAAGCCUGACGCAGCAACGCCGCGUGGGGGAUGAAGGUUCUCGGAUUGUAAACCCCUUUCGACCGGAACGAAUCCCCUCCUGGUAAAUAAUCAGGAGGAUCGACGGUACCGGGAGAAGAAGCCACGGCUAACUCUGUGCCAGCAGCCGCGGUAAGACAGAGGUGGCGAGCGUUGUUCGGAUUUAUUGGGCGUAAAGCGAACGCAGGUGGUUUGGUAAGUCAGGGGUGAAAGCCCACAGCUUAACUGUGGCACUGCCUUUGAUACUGCCUUUCUAGAGUGCAUGAGGGGGAAGCGGAAUUCCGAGUGUAGAGGUGAAAUUCGUAGAUAUUCGGAGGAACACCGGUGGCGAAGGCGGCUUCCUGGCAUGUAACUGACACUCAUGUUCGAAAGCGUGGGUAGCAAACAGGAUUAGA